rnacentral:rRNA from 1 species
GACGAACGCUGGCGGCGUGCCUAAUACAUGCAAGUAGAACGCACAGUUUAUACCGUAGCUUGCUACACCAUAGACUGUGAGUUGCGAACGGGUGAGUAACGCGUAGGUAACCUGCCUGGUAGCGGGGGAUAACUAUUGGAAACGAUAGCUAAUACCGCAUAAUAUUGAUUAUUGCAUGAUAAUUGAUUGAAAGAUGCUAUUGCAUCACUGCCAGAUGGACCUGCGUUGUAUUAGCUAGUAGGUGAGGUAACGGCUCACCUAGGCGACGAUACAUAGCCGACCUGAGAGGGUGAUCGGCCACACUGGGACUGAGACACGGCCCAGACUCCUACGGGAGGCAGCAGUAGGGAAUCUUCGGCAAUGGACGAAAGUCUGACCGAGCAACGCCGCGUGAGUGAAGAAGGGUUUCGGAUCGUAAAGCUCUGUUGUAAGAGAAGAACGGGUGUGAGAGUGGAAAGUUCACACUGUGACGGUAUCUUACCAGAAAGGGACGGCUAACUACGUG